GCUAUGGCAAAACCCAAAAACUAAAACACGUGUCUCCCUCAUUCUGUGUGGACCUAGUAGGUCUUGCCCUCUCUUGCUUCACUCCCAACGGUGCAACAUCACCGGUGCGACGGUGAUCUCUCCACCGGCGGCUUAAUUUUUAUAAUUCCAAUUUCGCGUUCGCUUCACUUCCUCUGGAAAUCUCCUUCAAUUCGCUGAUAUUAUUGUUGUUUAACUUUAACCACAGCGAUGAGAGCGAUUGUGAAAAUCACCGGAGGGAGAUUGGGCAGCGUUUUAGGGUUCUUCAAUAGGUUCAUUCAUUCGCUGCCCCAAUCUCCUCCUUUAUCUGCGACCAUUGAUUUUAGUUCUCCAACUUUCUCUUCUUCUUUUGUGGGCUCUAUGGAGCUCAUGGCUGUCCCAAAACGCAAGGUUUCUCCCCAUAAAAGAGGAAUAAGGAAUGGACCAAAAGCUCUUAAACCUAUUCCUGUCAUAGUCCUAUGCAAGUUCUGUUGCGGUCAUGUACAGUUAAAAAAUGUUAAUAUUGUAGGUCAAAAAUAGGAUUCAAUCUUGGAGCACCAAUGAACAAUUGCUUGUUGGCAAAGUCUAUGAAUAUAUUAGAGGAAAUCUCUCCAAGUUUGGGCUCACAUUCAUGAUUUGACUCCUUUCUGCAGGCGUUUCACUUCUUUACAGCGCAUUACUGACUUUUUAAUUAGGGGCAGAUCCACAUCAGGUGUUCAAGGAAAAUUAUGUUGUCUGGCUAUUGCAAUUACAGUCUACUGUAUCUGUCUGUCUAGGAACAAGCAGCUGAUUUUUGAAGAUUAUCAAUUUUCUGUAAUAGAGGUUAUUAACAAGAUUAAGUUUCUUAUGUAUAGACAAGCGCACCUGUUGCAAUUGUUUUAACAUCUUGAUAUAGGCCUUUUUGUAUUAGGAAGACUUUUGAUUUUCUCUAACUGCGAGGUAUGUCCUGUUUACUGUUGUAUCA